rnacentral:rRNA from 1 species
GAUGAACGCUGGCGGCGUGCCUAAUACAUGCAAGUCGAGCGAACAGACGAGGAGCUUGCUCCUUUGACGUUAGCGGCGGACGGGUGAGUAACACGUAGGUAACCUACCUAUAAGACUGGGAUAACUUCGGGAAAGCGGAGCUUACACCGGAUAAUAUUUCGAACCGCAUGGUUCGAUAGUGAAAGAUGGCUUUGCUAUAACUUCUAGCUGGACCUGCGCCGUAUUAGCUAGUUGGUAAGGUACCGGCUUACCAAGGCAACGAUACGUAGCCGACCUGAGAGGGUGAUCGGCCACACUGGAACGGAGACACGGUCCAGACUCCUACGGGAGGCAGCAGUAGGGAAUCUUCCGCAAUAGGCGAAAGCCUGACGGAGCAACGCCGCGUGAGUGAUGAAGGUCUUCGGAUCGUAAAACUCUGUUAUGAGGGAAGAACAAACGUGUAAGUAACUGUGCACGUCUUGACGGUACCUAAUCAGAAAGCCACGGCUAACUACGUG